rnacentral:rRNA from 1 species
AACGAACGCUGGCGGCAUGCCUAACACAUGCAAGUCGAACGAGACCUUCGGGUCUAGUGGCGCACGGGUGCGUAACGCGUGGGAACCUGCCCUUAGGUUCGGAAUAACUCCCCGAAAGGGGUGCUAAUACCGGAUAAUGUCUUCGGACCAAAGAUUUAUCGCCUUUGGAUGGGCCCGCGUUGGAUUAGCUAGUUGGUAGGGUAAAAGCCUACCAAGGCGACGAUCCAUAGCUGGUCUGAGAGGAUGAUCAGCCACACUGGGACUGAGACACGGCCCAGACUCCUACGGGAGGCAGCAGUGGGGAAUAUUGGACAAGGGGCGAAAGCGUGAUCCAGCAAUGCCGCGUGAGUGAUGAAGGCCUUAGGGUUGUAAAGCUCUUUUAGCCGGGAUGAUAAUGACAGUACCGGGAGAAUAAGCUCCGGCUAACUCCGUG